rnacentral:tRNA from 1 species
UCCCUGGCGGCUCAGAUGGUAGAGAAUCUGCCUGCAAUGCAGGGACACCCAGGUUCGAUCCCUGGCUUGGGAA